rnacentral:rRNA from 1 species
UACGAAGGGGGCUAGCGUUGUUCGGAUUUACUGGGCGUAAAGCGCACGUAGGCGGAUUGUUAAGUCAGGGGUGAAAUCCUGGAGCUCAACUCCAGAACUGCCUUCGAUACUGGAAAGCUCGAGACCGGAAGAGGUGAGUGGAAUUCCGAGUGUAGAGGUGAAAUUCGUAGAUAUUCGGAAGAACACCAGUGGCGAAGGCGACUCACUGGACACAUAUUGACGCUGAGGUGCGAAAGCGUGGGGAGCAAACAGG